rnacentral:rRNA from 1 species
AGAGUUUGAUCAUGGCUCAGAGUGAACGCUGGCGGCGUGCUUAACACAUGCAAGUCGAACGAUGAAGCAACUGCUUGCAGUUGUGGAUUAGUGGCGCACGGGUGAGUAAUGGAUAGGUAACCUGCCUCAUAGUCUGGGACAACAGUUGGAAACGACUGCUAAUACUGGAUAUUCCCUACGGGGGAAAGAUUUAUCGCUAUGAGAUGGGCCUAUCUCCUAUCAGCUAGUUGGUAAGGUAACGGCUUACCAAGGCAAUGACGGGUAGCUGGUCUUAGAGGACGAUCAGCCACACUGGAACUGAGACACGGUCCAGACUCCUACGGGAGGCAGCAGUGGGGAAUAUUGCACAAUGGGGGAAACCCUGAUGCAGCAACGCCGCGUGGAGGAUGACGCAUUUCGGUGUGUAAACUCCUUUUAUUUAGGAAGAAAUUGACGGUACUAAAGAA